GACGAACGCUGACGGCGUGCUUAACACAUGCAAGUCGAAGGGAGUGGCGAACGGGUGAGUAACACGUGAGUAACCUGCCCUUUUCUUUGGGAUAAGCCUGGGAAACUGGGUCUAAUACUGGAUGGAUUGGGAUGGGCUCGGGGUUUAUCAGUUUGUUGGUGGGGUGAUGGCUUACCAAGGCUUUGACGGGUAGCCGGCCUGAGAGGGUGGUCGGGAACACUGGGACGGAGAUACGGCCCAGACUACUACGGGAGGGGGCAGUGGGGGAUAGUGCAAAAUGGACGAAAGUCUGAUGCAGCGACGUCGUGUGGGGGAUGGGGGCCUUCGGGUUGUAAACUCCUUUCGCCCGCGGAAUGGUAGUGGGUAAAGAAGCGCCGGCUAACUACGUGCCAGCAGCCGCGGUAAUAC
rnacentral:rRNA from 1 species